rnacentral:tRNA from 1 species
UGGGAAUUUGUGUAAGGGUAGCACGACAGACUCUGACUCUGUUUGUGAGGGUUCGAAUCCUUCAUUCCCAGCCA